rnacentral:rRNA from 1 species
AGGAUAAACGCUGGCGGCGUGCCUAACACAUGCAAGUCGAACGCGCUUGCUAUCCGCGAGGACGGUGAGCGAGUGGCGGACGGGUGAGGAACACGUGGGUGACCUACCUUUCAGUGAGGGAUACCGGCGAGAAAUUGCCGACAAGACCGCAUACGCUUCUCUUUUCAAGGGGAGAAGGAAAGCUUUUCGCAAGAGAGGCGCUGGGAGAUGGGCCUGCGGCCGAUUAGCUAGCUGGUGGGGUAAUGGCCUACCAGGGCGACGAUCGGUAGCUGGUCUGAGAGGACGAUCAGCCACACUGGGAUUGAGAACGGCCCAGACUCCUACGGGGGGCAGCAGUGAGGAAUUUUUCGGCAAUGGGGGCAACCCUGACCGAGCAACGCCGCGUGCAGGACGACGGCCUCGGGUUGUAAACUGCUUUUCUCUGGGACGAGCAAGGACGGUACCAGAGGAAGAAGCCCGGCUAACUACGCGCCAGCAGCCGCGGU